rnacentral:lncRNA from 1 species
GCUGGAAGGGAUGUUUAAGGAUCCAACUCCUCCUGAACAGGGACAUCUAUAGCCAGAUCGAGUUGCUCAGAUUUGUGCACAGCCCUUCAAAUACUGAAUGAGCCCGAAGGAUCUGCACAGAAAGGCUGUCUGCCCUGAGUCAGCUCUCUGCAGUCAGGUGCCCAUGGUGCGCUUCCCCAGCAGCAGAGGUGUGAGUGGCAAGAGAACAUGUAUGCCUGCAUGCCAGAUCUGUCUGAAGGAAAAGAUGCUGGAGCCACAGUGAAGUAACUGAGCUCCCAGGGAGAGGCUGUACCCACUGUCACUGCACAGCACUUCACAUGAGCCUCAGCCAGUCUCUUUCUGAGUAGUGAGGGUGCUUGCCUCUGCAAUGGAAAUUUCAGAGAUGCUACUGUUUGGGAUGCACAGUAAUAUACACAAUACAAAUAUAUAACUGCUUAGAGAUGAACA